rnacentral:rRNA from 1 species
AACGAACGCUGGCGGCGUGGAUAAGACAUGCAAGUCGAACGAGAGAAUUGCUAGCUUGCUAAUAAUUCUCUAGUGGCGCACGGGUGAGUAACACGUGAGUAACCUGCCCCCAAGAGUGGGAUAGCCCCGGGAAACUGGGAUUAAUACCGCAUAAAAUCGCAAGAUUAAAGCAGCAAUGUGCUUGGGGAUGGGCUCGCGUCCUAUUAGUUAGUUGGUGAGGUAACGGCUCACCAAGGCGAUGACGGGUAGCCGGUCUGAGAGGAUGUCCGGCCACACUGGAACUGAGACACGGUCCAGACACCUACGGGUGGCAGCAGUCGAGAAUCAUUCACAAUGGGGGAAACCCUGAUGGUGCGACGCCGCGUGGGGGAAUGAAGGUCUUCGGAUUGUAAACCCCUGUCAUGUGGGAGCAAAUUAAAAAGAUAGUACCACAAGAGGAAGAGACGGCUAACUCUGUGCCAGCAGCCGCGGUAAUACAGAGGUCUCAAGCGUUGUUCGGAAUCACUGGGCGUAAAGCGUGCGUAGGCGGUUUCGUAAGUCGUGUGUGAAAGGCGGGGGCUCAACCCCCGGACUGCACAUGAUACUGCGAGACUAGAGUAAUGGAGGGGGAACCGGAAUUCUCGGUGUAGCAGUGAAAUGCGUAGAUAUCGAGAGGAACACUCGUGGCGAAGGCGGGUUCCUGGACAUUAACUGACGCUGAGGCACGAAGGCCAGGGGAGCGAAAGGGAUUAGAUACCCCUGUAGUCCUGGCAGUAAACGGUGCACACUUGGUGUGCGGGGAAUCGACCCCCUGCGUGCCGGAGCUAACGCGUUAAGC